rnacentral:rRNA from 1 species
AAGGCCCUUCGGGGUACACGAGCGGCGAACGGGUGAGUAACACGUGGGUAACCUGCCCUGUACUCUGGGAUAAGCCUUGGAAACGAGGUCUAAUACCGGAUACGACCAUUGGAUGCAUGUCCGGUGGUGGAAAGUUCCGGCGGUAUGGGAUGGACCCGCGGCCUAUCAGCUUGUUGGUGGGGUAAUGGCCUACCAAGGCGACGACGGGUAGCCGGCCUGAGAGGGUGACCGGCCACACUGGGACUGAGACACGGCCCAGACUCCUACGGGAGGCAGCAGUGGGGAAUAUUGCACAAUGGGCGAAAGCCUGAUGCAGCGACGCCGCGUGAGGGAUGACGGCCUUCGGGUUGUAAACCUCUUUCAGCAGGGACGAAGCGCGAGUGACGGUACCUGCAGAAGAAGCACCGGCUAACUACGUGCCAGCAGCCGCGGUAAUACGUAGGGUGCGAGCGUUGUCCGGAAUUAUUGGGCGUAAAGAGCUCGUAGGCGGUUUGUCGCGUCGGCCGUGAAAACUUGGGGCUUAACUCCAAGCUUGCGGUCGAUACGGGCAGACUUGAGUUCGGCAGGGGAGACUGGAAUUCCUGGUGUAGCGGUGAAAUGCGCAGAUAUCAGGAGGAACACCGGUGGCGAAGGCGGGUCUCUGGGCCGACACUGACGCUGAGGAGCGAAAGCGUGGGGAGCGAACAGGAUUAGAUACCCUGGUAGUCCACGCCGUAAACGGUGGG